rnacentral:rRNA from 1 species
AACGUAGGUGGCAAGCGUUAUCCGGAUUUACUGGGCGUAAAGGGUGUGCAGGCGGGGCAGCAAGUGGUGUAUGAAAUCUCCAGGCUUAACCUGGAGGGGUUAUGCCAGACUGCUUUUCUAGAGGACGAGAGAGGGGGGUGGAAUUCCGGGUGUAGUGGUGAAAUGCGUAGAUAUCGGAAGGAACACCAGUGGCGAAGGCGGCUAUCUGGACUGAUACUGACACUGAGGUGCGAAAGCAUGGGGAGCAAACAGG